rnacentral:lncRNA from 1 species
CCUUUAGUCCUGCACUUUCUAUGUUUUGUCUUCCUCAGCCUUCAAGGAGACAUAAGUCUCCUUACUUUAAAAACACAAAAGUUUUCCCUCCACAAACUUGUUGAAAAAGCACUGCUCCUCUUUAUCCUCCCUUGCUCACCUGUCAUUUACUCCUCCACGCUCUGCACUAUUGUAUUACAUCUCACCCCUCGAUUCAAAGACACAAAAAGGUCACUUUGACUCACUAAAUCACAAUAAUUUCUGUUUCUAUCCUUGACAUCUCUGCAUCAUUUGACUCUAUUGACCUUCUUUCUUUAAACUUCCCCUGGCUUUUUGGAGAGUUCUACCUCUCUGACUUCUCUUUCUCAGCUUAUUAUUCUGUCUUUUAUUGAUUUUUUAAAAGGGCAGGGGAGCGGCGCAGUCUCAUCUCUUUCUAAGGUUUAAUGAUGGCAUCUACUGUGGAAUAAAAGAUCAUUGAAAACUUGUACACACUUAAUGUUGGUAGAAAAUAUAUUUUAUUUUAUCGGGGGAAAUCCUGUCUAAAUAACAUUUUAGACUUCUUAGAGAACAAAAAAAACUAAAUGUCUUGCUAAGCAUAGCAAUAGAUAUAAUGUUUUUGGAAGUGUUUGAUAGGAUUCUGUACUAAAAACAAUUUAAUAAAACAGAAAUCACCACGAAAAAUACUUAAUGGAUAAAAACUGCCCUAAAAACACUAACCAUAAGGUCAUAGGCUAAAUGGUGCUUGCAUGUGUAGUCAGUGAACUGAACAAGCACUAACAUGUGCAAUGUAAUCAGAAAAACAACUUUCUUUUUUCUCUUCCCUCACUAACUUAAAUUUAUUCAGUGGGUCUUGCUUUCCCCUUCCUCUCUGUAGAAACUUGACUUUUCUUCUUACCCUUAUAUACUAAGAGUUCACUUUGUUGGUUCACUUUAAGAUUCUCCCUUGACUUGAGAUAAAAGUGGAGGUGAUACUCCCUUCACAGUGAGUUCGAGAUUCUGUGAAGUGGGUGUCCCCUUUUAAAAAAUAUAUCACUUCUACAAAUGCCUAGUAAAAACACCCUUUCAUGCCAUUGAUGUGAGUAAGGACUCUAAGAGUACUGUAACUUUUACUAGUAUCACUCUAAAAUUCAUAAAUUCACAAUUUUCUUGGGUACCCGUUACGUUUCACAUUAGGACAUCAGCCAAAACUUCCACUUGAACAUUCCAUUACGCUUGAAUGAAGAGGUUUAAACAGCGAGGCAUAUCAGAGAUUGGCUCUAAAGCAUCCUUAUGAAACAGGUUGGUAAAUGAUUCACAGGUGAACAUAUGCGUGAAAUCUCCAAAGUGGCAUAUGACACGAAACUUCCAGUUAGUAAAAUGCCAAGUCAAUAGAAUAAACUGCAGGAAGAUUUCACCAGGCUGGGUGAGUGGGCAGAAGAGUGGCAGAUGAGUGUUCAAGGACAAGAGAGCAGAUGCUUUCAGGACAAAUAAUCCAAACGUAAUUCUCAGGGAAGUGGUCUCCUGGGUAUCAGUCAUGAUCCUCUGGAAAGAUGGGCUUCAGAAAGGUACAAACUUGCAUACAAAACAAGGCUCCUAUUUACAGUUCAUAUGUUACUGGAAUUUUUUAAAUUAAUGCAUGUUUGAACUAAAGUUCUUUAUCUUCAUUAAAGUCAUUCUGUUUUUCAGUGAAGGACAGGGUACAUGAAUUUCAAAACCAAAUUUCAGGACCAUGUUUUAUAGCAGGAAUUUACCUUCAGCCAACAUUUUCAUGUCUAUUUGUAAAUAAAGUAAGUUUUUCAAACAUAAAUUUAUUAUUCUUCGUACAGAACUACUUAGAAGGUCUUUAGUAUGAAUAUGCAAAUAUAUUUUCCUUUUUGUUUCUAUUAAGAUGUGUGUAUAUCUUUAUCUACGUAUUUUCUCUCAAUCGGGUGUGUGUGUGUACAGUUGAUAAUACAAAUAUGGAAUUAUUUGAGGUGUAAUUAAAAGUCCUCAAAGGACUUUCUCAAGAUUUUUUUUCCCAUUGAAGAGGGGAGGCAUUGGAUAGCUGGUGCAAUUUCUGCUAAUAAAAAUAAAUGUCCUUCAGACAGGAAUUAGAUAAGCAGCUUGUUUCUGCAAAACUUGAACUGCAGCCAGUCUUGUACAAACUCAUUUCAUAAAUAUUUCCCUCUUCAAAAAAAAAAAUUGAGAAGAUGGAUGUAUUCAAAAUUUUCCAGGAAGGUACUAAGAAUUCUGCUCAUGAUUAUCUCAGGAGGAAGCUUCCAUCUGUUCUCUCUAAUAGUUUAACUUGCUCUACUUUGUUCCAUAUUUCUCAACGAGGACUUUGGAGUUUCUGCAUAAGAUCAACUAUUUUUCUCAUUUCCCUCUUUUAUUAAAAUACCACACUUAUAUGAAGGAUGAGCCCUCUGCUAUAUUGCUUACAGUGCUAUUUUAGGAUAGAGAAAAUAUUUUGUCACAAAGAAAGACUUCCUG